UGCGGAAAGAAGCAACAGCCGCUCCCCCGGAGCCCAGAAAAGUGGACGCCGCGUCCCGGCCGCCCGCCUGCGCCGGGGAUGCGGCGGCGGCGGCGGCUAACGGUCCAGCGAGGCGGCAGGGGCGGCGGGAGCCGCUAGGCGGAGAGACCAGUGAUGGAGCGCUACUUUAAAUUUACAUGCCGGCGAUGUAAAUGGCCGAAAGUGACUUUUCAUCAUCCUAAAUGAGAGGAUGAAAUUCAUCCUGGUUGGAAUUCACGGGGCUUACUGCAUCUGAGGAUGGACGUCUUUCAACAACUCUGAAACCUUCUCUGUUUGGACAGUGCCUCUUCCACACCCUGUUUUCUCCCUCUGGAACUCAAAUUAGACAUAUGUUAAAGCUUCCACCUCCACUCCCUUCCCCCUGAAACUCUCUUUCCCAUUUCCUGUCCCUCCUCCUCUCCAGAUUGUUUUCAUUUCUUUGGGUUUAUCUGCCAUUCACUUUUUCCUCUCCGAAUCAACUGCAUCUAAUCUGCUACAAAGGCAGUUCAUUGAGUUUAUUAUAUUCACUUUAAGCCUAUUAAAUGAGUUAUUCUGGGCCA